GUCCCAUCUUCAUUAGCAUCCUUGCCAUGAAAGGGAAAUUCUUGUCUCCUAGCAACAAGGAGUGUCCUCAACUCACCCAGAGCUCCCACUAAACUCCAAGGAAGUUGAUGACAACUUCAAAGACUGCUGUUCAAGAUGGCCCUAGCAACUCAGGCUCCAUCUCGCCCC
rnacentral:lncRNA from 14 species